rnacentral:lncRNA from 1 species
CUUGGGUGCGCACAUACUUUUUCAAUCUAAAAUAUACUUAAAAUUUGAUAAAAAACAAGGAAAAUCACGAAAUUUUAUAAAAUAUGCAAAUUAAGUCAUGAUUUGUUGCCAUGGUUACUUGUUCAAUGUCAAAUUUCUUUCGUUUUUCUGAAUACUUUGUACCUUAGUCAUGAUUUCAGUAAUUUAAGCAUAUGUAUGAUAAAUUUUAAAUUUGCAGUAAUUUUUGGGCCAAAUAAGGGCCUUAUUGUCCCAUCUCCUUUCCAAAAACUCUGAAAAAGUUCAUUGAAU